rnacentral:rRNA from 1 species
UACGGGGGGUGCGAGCGUUGUCCGGAAUCACUGGGCGUAAAGGGCGCGUAGGCGGCGCGGUAAGUCGGGUGUGAAAUCUCGGGGCUUAACUCCGAAACUGCAUUCGAUACUGCCGUGCUUGAGGACUGGAGAGGAGACUGGAAUUUACGGUGUAGCGGUGAAAUGCGUAGAUAUCGUAAGGAAGACCAGUGGCGAAGGCGGGUCUCUGGACAGUUCCUGACGCUGAGGCACGAAGGCCAGGGGAGCAAACGGG